rnacentral:rRNA from 1 species
CCUANGGGCGGCAGCAGUAGGGAAUAUUGGACAAUGGGUGCGAGCCUGAUCCAGCCAUGCCGCGUGCAGGAAGACGGCCUUCUGGGUUGUAAACUGCUUUUGCCAGGGGAUAAAAAGUCCCUGCGGGGAAAAUUGAAGGUACCUGGUGAAUAAGCCACGGCUAACUACGUGCCAGCAGCCGCGGUAAUACGUAGGUGGCAAGCGUUGUCCGGAUUUAUUGGGUUUAAAGGGUGCGUAGGCGGUCCAUUAAGUCAGUGGUGAAAUACGGCAGCUCAACUGUCGAGGUGCCAUUGAUACUGGAGGACUUGAGUACAGACGAGGUAGGCGGAAUUGACGGUGUAGCGGUGAAAUGCUUAGAUAUCGUCAAGAACACCGAUAGCGAAGGCAGCUUACUAGACUGUAACUGACGCUGAGGCACGAAAGUGUGGGGAUCAAACAGGAUUAGAUACCCCANUANUC